rnacentral:lncRNA from 1 species
UGCAACCACCACCAACUUUGCCCCAGCUAAUAACUAUUCUCUUCUUGAUGCCUCCUCACCCGCUUUCUUCAUUCAACAACCCCAAAUCAGACCUCAUCCUCAGGUACAUACAUAUAUACAUACGUAUCAUAAUAUAUGUAUAUAUUAUGUUAUAUUAAUUAUAUUGAGAAUAUAUUAUUAAGUAAAGACGUGUAAUAUUAUUUUGAUUUCAGGACAACGGUAACGGACUAUUGUGGGAUGCAGAAGAGCAAAGACAAAAGUUUCUUAAUCCAUCUGGGACUGGGUUGGCCAACAGCAACUUGUGUUGUUUCCAUUAAUGUAAUUAAUUAUAUACACACCUGCCCUACAAAACAUCUCCUAUAUCUAUACACCUGCUAGCUAUAUGUGUACGUGACGCAUAAGUCCUCAUAUGUCCUGUCUGAUCAUCAAUAUUUUUUCUUUAAUUAAAAAAAAAAAAAAAAAAAAAAAAAGGACAAAGAAACCCGCGUAGAUAUUAAAUUGAUUGGAUUAAAUUAAUAAGAUAUUUUGAUGUAUGGAUUUUCCAGCUUGCAUGGAGUUGAAACUAAGACAUAUCCACAUGAAAAAGAAGAGAGAAGGGUGAGGUUGAAGAUGAAUAAAGGACAUGCAGCAAAAUCAAUGGAGGAAGAUGAAAGAGAAGAAGAAACCAAAUAAAAAGGCACAUCUUUUUGCAGAUCCAUUUUGACAACUCACGUCCCCU